rnacentral:lncRNA from 1 species
GGAGCGAGCACAUCGAGCAGCUCUUCACCUCAGUUAGCUGAUCUAGCUCGAGAGGUUAAGAGACUCCAUAGCUUGCUUCGAUCGACACUUGAGCCGAUUUGGAUUGAUAUCAAAGACUUGAGGGACUUUGUUUCCUUUGAUCUUGAGGGGCUCAAAGUUUCAGUGAGAGGAGUCCUAUCCUAGCUAGAUGCCAUUAGGACUCAGCUCCAGUCCAGACCCUCCAUAUCUAAUGAGCCCACUUUUGUUCAGCCUAUCGCCUUUCAUCCUCCAACAUCUUCUACUUGGAUCAGACCAUCCAGUCGAGGCUGAGGCUAAUUCUAUUUCAGUUGUUUUGAUCUUGAGCUCAAUGCCCAUGCUCCCUGAUCUGAUCAUUUUGUAUUAACAGUUUUAGGUUACAUACUACUUAGUUGUUGUAUUUUAUUUUAGUAGUUGAAUGUAUGAGAGCCUUAUGCUCAUAGAUAUAUAUUAUGACUUGAUCAUUGUAAUGAAUGAAUGUACUUGACUCUUGUAACCUCUUAUUUUUUUAUAAUUAAUGCAUGAGGUUAUC